UUUAGGGAGACCUAAUCCACUCAGAAUCUCGAAAGCAAACAGCCAAUAGAGAAUGAGAGGGUCUAGCCUAGGUUGGUCGCAGUAGGAGUCAAGGCUUUCAAACUCAUAAUUAGGUUCUUUUGGGCUAUUAGCUCAGGUGGUUAGAGCGCACCCCUGAUAAGGGUGAGGUCCCUGGUUCGAGUCCAGGAUGGCCCACCUGAAGUCAAUUCAAAAUGCAAAAUUAAAAGUUUAAAAUGAAGAGUUUCUUGCAUUCUUAAUUUUUAAUUUCCAGUUUUUAAUUGAUUGGGGGGGGUUUAGCUCAGUUGGUAGAGCGCCUGCUUUGCAAGCAGGAUGUCAGCGGUUCGAGUCCGCUAACCUCCACAUGAAAAAGGCAAAAAGCCGAAAUAGCUAAAAUAGCUAAGAAAAAAUCGGAAAAAGUCAGCAACUAACGGCUUAGAGAAGAGAGUUAGACUGCUGGUGUAAUUCCAGCCAGAACCUUGAAAACUGCAUAGAAACGCGAAAGAAUAGCAGGCAGACACAAGUAUCGAACAGAUAGAAAGUGUGUGCUGGAUGAGAACCAAUUGUAUUGU
rnacentral:tRNA from 1 species